CUCAGUAGCCUAAAAUGGACCACUAGAAUAACGACUUUCUAACCAAGUGAACAAUUUUACUUUGUUCUCUUCAAUUAGGCUAUGGUGGUACAAAAUACAAAUGCCUAAACCUAAAGCCAUAUAGCUAGCUUAGAAUCAGGAGACUAAGUUAAAUAAAAGUAUUUAGUUUCAGAAUUUUCUGUUUUUGCAGAGAAAUAAAAUAUGACUGUAUUAUGCAAAGGGAGGGUAAUAUGCUGUUGUUGAAUCUAAUUUGCUCACUUAAGAAACUAUGAGAAAGAGACAAAAGCCACUUUUUAGAAAUUUAAAAGCAAAAGUCAAUGUUAUAUGAUGGGCAAGGGGCAACUAUUCAAAACCCCAAUGCAAAACACACAAACACAGAAAACAGUAUAAAAGUGAAUGGGUUGGAGGGAUCAGAUCAGGCUGAGAGAGAAGAAUGUGAAAGGCAGAGUGGAGGAAUUGAAGGGUUUGGAAGAGAGAGGGUGAUGACUGAUGUGUUAUAAGAGUUAAGUCUUUCAUCAAUAUGUACAUAUAUAUAUAUAUGUAAUAUGGAAAGGUUUUUGAAUUCUCUGUUUAAAAUUCUAUGGGGGACGCUUUGUUAGCAAAAAAAAACUAUGGAAGAUGCUUUUAGACUACCGACCAACCACUUUAUUUUUUUUUUAUUGUAUUUUUCAUGUUUUCGUGGACGGAGAAAAGUAAUUAUGAAUCGUUUCCUUUAUCAAAAAAAGUGGUCUAUGAAUAGUCCAUAAUAAUCACGUUAUUAUUAUGAAAAAAAAUGUAAUUAUCAUUUGUAUUUUUUACUGUUA